CGUGUAGGCGGCCCCGUUAGUCCGCUGUGAAAGUCCAGGGCUCAACCCUGGAAUGCCGGUGGGAUACUGCAGGGCUAGAGUCCGGAAGGGGCGAGUGGAAUUCCUGGUGUAGCGGUGAAAUGCGCAGAUAUCAGGAGGAACACCAAUGGCGAAGGCAGCUCGCUGGGACGUGACUGACGCUGAGACGCGAAAGCGUGGGGAGCAAACAGGAUUACGAUACCCUGGUAGUCCCACGCUGUAAACGAUGGCAACUAGAUGUGGGGGGUGUCGACUCCCCCCCGUGUCGAAGCUAACGCAUUAAGUUGCCCGCCUGGGGAGUACGGCCGCAAGGCUAAA
rnacentral:rRNA from 1 species